rnacentral:rRNA from 1 species
UGGGGAAUAUUGCACAAUGGGCGAAAGCCUGAUGCAGCAACGCCGCGUGAGUGAUGAAGGCCUUCGGGUUGUAAAGCUCUGUCUUCUGGGACGAUAAUGACGGUACCAGAGGAGGAAGCCACGGCUAACUACGUGCCAGCAGCCGCGGUAAUACGUAGGUGGCAAGCGUUGUCCGGAUUUACUGGGCGUAAAGGAUGCGUAGGCGGAUACUUAAGUCAGAUGUGAAAAUCCCGGGCUUAACUUGGGAACUGCAUUUGAAACUGGGUAUUUAGAGUGCGGGAGAGGAAAGUGGAAUUCCUAGUGUAGCGGUGAAAUGCGUAGAGAUUAGGAAGAACACCAGUGGCGAAGGCGACUUUCUGGACCGUAACUGACGCUGAGGCAUGAAAGCGUGGGGAGCAAACA